rnacentral:rRNA from 1 species
UACGUAGGGGGCAAGCGUUGUCCGGAUUUAUUGGGCGUAAAGCGCUCGCAGGUGGUUUGUCGCGUCGUGCGUGAAAGACCCCGGCUCAACUGGGGAGGGUCGUGCGAUACGGGCGAACUGGAGGCCAGUAGGGGGAUGCGGAAUUCCGGGUGUAGUGGUGGAAUGCGUAGAGAUCCGGAGGAACACCAGCGGCGAAGGCGGCAUCCUGGACUGGUCCUGACACUCAGGAGCGAAAGCGUGGGGAGCAAACAGG